UUCGCAAUGCCCGAAAGGGUGACGAAGCGACGCCGCGUGAGCGAAGAAGGCCUUAGGGUUGUAAAGCUCUGUCAAGGGUUAUGAAAUAUAGAUGAGUUAAUACCUUGUUUAUUUGACAAAGGCCCAAAAGGAAGUCACGGCUAACUCUGUGCCAGCAGCCGCGGUAAUACAGAGGUGGCAAGCGUUGUUCGGUAUUAUUGGGCGUAAAGAGCACGUAGGUGGUUUCGUAAGUCAGGUGUGAAAGCCUUCUGUUCAAAGGAAGAACGGCAUCUGAAACUGCUAAUCUUGAGUAUAGGAGGGGAGAAUGGAACUUCUGGUGGAGCGGUGAAAUGCGUAGAUAUCAGAAGGAACGCCGGCGGCAAAAGCGAUUCUCUGGCCUAUUACUGACACUCAGUGUGCGAAAGCUAGGGGAGCAAACGGGAUUAGAUACCCCGGUAGUCCUGGCCGUAAACGAUGGGCACUAAGUAGAGGGGUUUUA
rnacentral:rRNA from 1 species